GUUGUAUUCUAUGUAGGGAUGGCCUUUUGUGAUCCUUAGAUCAGGAUGAUUAUGUUAACAAUGCCUUCGACCAGCAUUGCUAUAUUAUUUAUAUCUGACAUGAACCAAAGGUUACAAAAGCCUGUAAGGUGGAGAAUAUUUGGCAGUAAAAUCGCCCAAGUUUUCCAUACAGAUCAUUUAUAAAUGUGAUGUAAAAUACGUGACAAUUGAGUUUAAGUCUUGCAGCAUUUUAAUUGGAAACAUAGGCACACACGGAAAUUUAAACACUAGGGACCUUUUCUACUAGUACUGUAUGUCUGCCCGGACAUAUUUUACCAGGACAAAGUUAUCUCUUACAGAAAACCUUUAGGUAGAGGUAAGCGUACAAGGUACGUAGUACAGAAUAUAAGUGCAAGUUAAAACUCUUCAAAGUUCCAGGCAUAUAUAAACGUUGAAAAUAUGCGGCACAGCUCUAUAUUUUGAUAUUUGAAAACAAAAUAGUAGUGCAUAUGAAUUAACUUCACAUUCUA
rnacentral:lncRNA from 1 species